rnacentral:rRNA from 4 species
UCAUAUGCUUGUCUCAAAGAUUAAGCCAUGCAUGUCUAAGUACAAGCCUCACUAAGGUGAAACCGCGAAUGGCUCAUUAAAUCACACCUAAUCUACUGGAUAGUUAACAGUUACUUGGAUAACUGCGGUAAUUCUGGAGCUAAUACAUGCACAAAGCCCCGAACUUACGUGAGGGGCGCUUUUAUUAGAUCAAAACCAAACGGCUUUGCUGUUCUCUUGGUGACUCUGAAUAACUUUGGGCUGAUCGCAUAGCCUAGCGCUGGCGACAUAUCCUUCGAAGGUGUGCCCUAUCAACUGUCGACUGUGGCAUAGACGCCCACAGUGGUUUUGACGGGUAACGGGGAAUCAGGGUUCGAUUCCGGAGAGGGAGCCUUAAAAACGGCUACCACAUCUAAGGAAGGCAGCAGGCACGCAAAUUACCCAAUGACCGAAGGUCGAGGUAGUGACGAAAAAUAACGAUACGGGACUCAUCUGAGGCCCCGUAAUCGGAAUGAGUACACUUUAAAACCGUCCCCGAGGAUCUAUUGGAGGGCAAGUCUGGUGCCAGCAGCCGCGGUAAUUCCAGCUCCAAUAGCGUAUAUUAAAGUUGUUGUGGUUAAAAAGCUCGUAGUUGGAUCUCGGCGGUCUGAGGGCGGUUCACUUGCUAGUGCUACUGCCCUAUAGACC